UACGGAGGGUGCGAGCGUUGUCCGGAAUCACUGGGCGUAAAGAGCGCGCAGGCGGUCGUUCAAGUCGAGUGUGAAAGCCCCCGGCUCAACUGGGGAGGGUCACUCGAUACUGAUCGACUUGAAGGCGGGAGAGGGAAGCGGAAUUCCCGGUGUAGUGGUGAAAUGCGUAGAUAUCGGGAGGAACACCAGUGGCGAAGGCGGCUUUCUGGCCCGUUCUUGACGCUGAGGCGCGAAAGCUAGGGUAGCAAACGGG
rnacentral:rRNA from 1 species